rnacentral:tRNA from 1 species
UGGGGAGUGGCCAAGUGGCAAGGCGCCCGGCUGUUAACCGGGAAAGCGUAGGUUCGAAUCCUACCUCCCCAG